rnacentral:rRNA from 1 species
AUACGUAGGGGGCGAGCGUUGUCCGGAAUGAUUGGGCGUAAAGGGCGCGUAGGCGGCCCGGUAAGUCUGGAGUGAAAGUCCUGUUUUUAAGAUGGGAAUUGCUUUGGAUACUGUCGGGCUUGAGUGCAGGAGAGGUAAGUGGAAUUCCCAGUGUAGCGGUGAAAUGCGUAGAGAUUGGGAGGAACACCAGUGGCGAAGGCGACUUACUGGACUGUAACUGACGCUGAGGCGCGAAAGUGUGGGGAGCAAGCAGGAUUAGAUACCCUGGUAGUCCACACUGUAAAUGAUGAAUGCUAGGUGUAGGGGGUAUCGACCCCUUCUGUGCCGCAGUCAACACAAUAAGCAUUCCGCCUGGGGAGUACGGCCGCAAGGUUGAAACUCAAAUGAAUUGACGGGG